rnacentral:rRNA from 1 species
AACGAACGCUGGCGGCGUGCCUAAUACAUGCAAGUCGAACGGGGAAAGCUUUCGGGUGAGUACUAGUGGCGCACGGGUGAGUAACGCGUGGAUAAUCUGCCUUAGAGUGGGGGAUAACUAGUCGAAAGAUUAGCUAAUACCGCAUAAGACCACAAGAACUGCGGUUCAAGGGGUCAAAGGUUUUUCGCUCUAAGAUGAGUCCGCGUAAGAUUAGCUAGUUGGUAGGGUAACGGCCUACCAAGGCGACGAUCUUUAACUGGUCUGAGAGGAUGAUCAGUCACACUGGAACUGAGACACGGUCCGGACUCCUACGGGAGGCAGCAGUAGGGAAUAUUGCACAAUGGAGGAAACCCUGAUGCAGCGACGCCGCGUGAGUGAUGAAGGCCUUCGGGUCGUAAAGCUCUGUCGCAGGGGAAUAACACAAUGAAGGUACCCUGUAAGAAAGGAUCGGCUAACUUCGUGCCAGCAGCCGCAGUAAUAC